rnacentral:lncRNA from 12 species
AUGAGUAAGGAUGUUUUCAAGAGUUUUCUUGGAGGAGGUGAUAAUAGUUACAAUAACCAUCUACUGAGGACUUACUCUGAUGCAGCCUUGGGAUUUGUCUUGACUGAGGCAACUUGUAUGUGCAGUGGAAGGACACUAAGCUGGGUUACAGAGAUCAGAAGAAUGGACCCGUGUCAAGUGCUUUGUCCUCUGACUAAUGAUGAUGGGCUUGAGUCUCCUAGAACUUUCCCCAGCAAAAUAAACAGAUGACAGGAUGGAGUUUGAUGUAUACAGUGUUUAUUGCAGAUCAAUAUGUAUGGAACGGAGGUGAAGGAAGUGUGAUUUCUUCAUGGGAAAGAUCAAAUUUCAAUGCAGGCCAAUAAUAGAGAGCUCUGGAGCAGAAAUGGCCUGUUAGAGUGGUCCCAUGUUGGGCUGAUGUGGCUGGACCUAUGUCUCCUACCACAACCACAAUAUGGGUCCCCCAGGAAGAGCAUGUUCUUGGGCAAGUCAGCCCUCUGCAACUGAGGCAAGAAGCAGUGGGAGAAUGUCCUCCAAUGGUUGGCACAAGUCUUUCCUUGAAAGGGUUGCAGGCUCUGCAUCUCCAUGUCUACCACACAAAGAUAUCUAUAAAACUCACAGGCUGGGUGCCUGUGUGGCUCAGUGGUUGAGCAUCUGCCUUUGGCUCAAGUCGUGAUCCCGGGGUUCUGGGAUCGAGUCUUGCAUCUGUCUUCCCGUGGGGAGCCUGCUUCUCCCUCUGUGUCUCUGCCUCUCUCUCUGUGUCUCUCAUGAAUAAAUAAAUAAAAUCUUAAAAAAAAUCCUUGCA